rnacentral:rRNA from 1 species
CCUUAACCUGCUAAAUAGUAACGCGAACUCAGCCUGUGGGCUCUCGGGUCCAUAGGUGGUUCUGCGGCUAACUUCUUAGAGGGACUGUCGGUGUUUAACCGACGGAAGUUUGAGGCAAUAACAGGUCUGUGAUGCCCUUAGAUGUCCUGGGCUGCACGCGCGCUACACUGAUGAAGUCAGCGAGUUUAUAACCUUGUUCGGAAGGACAUUUUUUUGGGUAAUCUUCUGAAACUUCAUCGUGCUGGGGAUAGAUCAUUGCAAUUAUUGAUCUUCAACGAGGAAUUCCUAGUAAGCGCGAGUCAUCAGCUCGCGUUGAUUACGUCCCUGCCCUUUGUACACACCGCCCGUCGCUACUACCGAUUGAAUGGUUUAGUGAGAUCUUUGGACUGGCGCAACACAGCUGUCUGACAGCAGUGAUGCACUGGGAAGCUGAUCAAACUUGAUCAUUUAGAGGAAGUAAAAGUCG